UUCUUUCGUUCUCAUGCCUUGUGCGCUUCGACUUCUAAAAUGGUGGCUUUAGAGUGUUCGCUGCUGCAAUCCGUGAGAUUUCUUCGCCAUCCUUUGCCAGGUGGCUUCCAUCUUCUUGCAUACGGAUAGAUGAGGGCUUCGGGAAUGUUUACAGCCGAAUAUUUGUUUUAGCAGAUGGAGCAGAUCUACUUUACUACAUCAGGUUCCUUGCUGGGUAGCACACCAAGAUUUGCCAGAAGACAUGACAAGCUAGGUGAAUGAGCUUGCCAGCUGUGCGGACAGUGAGGAUGUGUCCAGAUAAAGAUUAUGCAGACUAUUAUAAACGGAUGGAUUCUGCUUCUCGCUCACAUAAGCGAUGCCCACGUGAUCUUCUGUGCUGAAGAUCAGGAAUCUUGUAAGAAGGCACCACUUGGUUAAGCAAUCUGUAUAGCGAACAUUACGUUUAUGGAUUUUUUUUUGUUUGUUUGAAAAUUUGUCUUUUGUAAUGUGCUGGUCUAAAAAUAAAAAUGCUCUCAAUCGUG